UACGGAGGGGGCUAGCGUUGUUCGGAAUUACUGGGCGUAAAGCGUGCGCAGGCGGUUGCGCAAGACAGAUGUGAAAUCCCCGGGCUCAACCUGGGAACUGCAUUUGUGACUGCACGGCUGGAGUGCGGCAGAGGGGGAUGGAAUUCCGCGUGUAGCAGUGAAAUGCGUAGAUAUGCGGAGGAACACCGAUGGCGAAGGCAAUCCCCUGGGCCUGCACUGACGCUCAUGCACGAAAGCGUGGGGAGCAAACAGG
rnacentral:rRNA from 1 species